GCAUGGCCGAUCCACACACACACACACACACAGAGACUGCUGGCGUCGCGGAGGCGACGAGGCGGCGGCGCGAGGUGACGCGUGCCAGCGCAGCACAGUACCGACGGCGACCCCCUCCGCCGCCCUCUCUUCCUUCCCCUCUCCCGGUAAGCGCCGCCCUCCUAGCUUCCCCUCACCGGCGGCCAGCGUGGGAGAAGAGGACGAGCGCGACCUCGGCGUCGCAGAGGAUGGAGAGCUCGUACGCCUUCUUGAGCAGGCCGUUCCGGCGCUUGGAGAACAAGAUCUUAGUCUCGAUCCGCUGCAGCACCACCUUCCCGCGCCCCAUGGCCUGUCCUUCCGAUCGAUCUCAGAGACUCACACCCUUCUUGGUUCGCCAGUCGUCGUCGGAGCGGAACCCACCGCCGUCGGACCGCAGGAUCAGCGGGAGCUCAUGACCCUUCCUGCUGCCGCAGCAUCACCAGUCGUCGUUGGAGCGGUGGCGUAGGAUGACGACGCCGCGGCCUUGACGCCGUCCAUGUGGAUCACGGUCGCGGGCUCGCUCAUCUUCUUUUCUUUUGGAUUGUUUGAUGCCGGACAAUCUUUGAAUGCUCUGUCGUCCGUGCUGUAUUGGAUGAGAGCAAUCCAAGCAAAUUUAUACCUGAAGAAACAGGGGAAUUGCUUCGCGCUGAUUAGCUUGUUUUUUGAUUCGUGCAUUGCAGGAGUGGUUGAUCCUCCAAUUCCUGGUCCUGCACCAUCAUGCUGGAAUUGCUCCUCUUCCUUUCUAACUGCUCUCCAACUUUUUGAGUGCUGAUUUGGGAAUUAGUUCUAAUUGGCACUUCCGUGCAGAAAGUCAUUACCUGUGAAUAAAUGCAAGCGAAAAGGGAGAAAAAGGAGUAGCUGCAUGUCUAUUUUUAUUAAGUCUGUCAGUGGAGAUUGCCACUGCAAUUUUUAUUAACUCGAGAAGAUUGCUUGGCUAACUCUUUCAGAAGCUGUUAGACAAAUCCUAGUGCCAAUUGGUACGAAGUUUUGCUAAGCAUUAUUGAUUUGUCCUGUGAACUCUUGUAGCUUGUUAACUGCUAGUACGUUUGAGCAAAGGUUGGUCUGAAUAUUUACAGGUUCAAAUAUUGCAAUGAUUCAUACAACUGUAAUUCUGCUAGCAGUUCAACUUAGAGCCGUAUUGCGGUUGCAAAUAGUGUCCAAUAUCUUCAUGAUUGUUAAAACGAUGAUUGCGGUUGCAAGUUGUCUACCAUUCUUUUCCUAAUCAAUAUUUUAAAACAAAAGAUAAAUUUAUAGUCCUAUCUCCAUAUUGUAUGAAUCAUUAUGCUUUCACAUUGCUUGUCCGAUAGUUGGAGAAAUUUCAAAAUUCUCCAUAACCAGCUAUUACUGGUAUUUGCAGGGAUGGAAAGUGUUGCGGAUAGGAGAUGUCUCAAGUUUGCUGAGCCCAAGUGCAUGGGUACAGAAGCUCAGACAGGGCAGGGAAUAAUCUGAAUUCAGAAGCUCUUGGUGAUCAAAUGAGUCUCUGAACCCCAGCUUGGGCCGGAAGCUAUGUACUCUCUAGCCUGUGUUCUUUAGCAGCAAUUAUAGUAGUCUGUAGUAGCAUGGGGAUUUUCUCUUUUUCGUCGAACGUUGUAGUUGAUGUAGUGGUUAUGAAUUUCCGUUCUGCUCAGCAUUGUGAUUGUGUACUCUGUUUCUUUCACCUGAACAAGCUUUUCUUCUUCUAUCGGGCACGCAUACUCCUGUGUAACUUCCAGUCCAGCUGAACACAGUUUUGUGGGAAUGGAAUGGUUCAAUGACAGGAUUUGAACCA